AACACAUGCAAGUCGAGCGGUAGCACAGGGGAGCUUGCUCCCUGGGUGACGAGCGGCGGACGGGUGAGUAAUGUCUGGGAAACUGCCUGAUGGAGGGGGAUAACUACUGGAAACGGUAGCUAAUACCGCAUAACGUCGCAAGACCAAAGAGGGGGACCUUCGGGCCUCUUGCCAUCAGAUGUGCCCAGAUGGGAUUAGCUAGUAGGUGGGGUAAUGGCUCACCUAGGCGACGAUCCCUAGCUGGUCUGAGAGGAUGACCAGCCACACUGGAACUGAGACACGGUCCAGACUCCUACGGGAGGCAGCAGUGGGGAAUAUUGCACAAUGGGCGCAAGCCUGAUGCAGCCAUGCCGCGUGUGUUAAGAAGGCCUUCGGGUUGUAAAGCACUUUCAGCGAGGAGGAAGGUGGUGAGCUUAAUACGCUCAUCGAUUGACGUUACUCGCAGAAGAAGCACCGGCUAACUCCGUGCCAGCAGCCGCGGUAAUACGGAGGGUGCAAGCGUUAAUCGGAAUUACUGGGCGUAAAGCGCACGCAGGCGGUUUGUUAAGUCAGAUGUGAAAUCCCCGGGCUCAACCUGGGAACUGCAUUUGAAACUGGCAAGCUAGAGUCUCGUAGAGGGGGGUAGAAUUCCAGGUAUAGCGGUGAAAUGCGUAGAGAUCUGGAGGAAUACCGGUGGCGAAGGCGGCCCCCUGGACGAAGACUGACGCUCAGGUGCGAAAGCGUGGGGAGCAAACAGGGUUAGAUACCCUGGGAGUCCACGCUGUAAACGAUGUCGAUUUGGAGGUGUGCCCUUGAGCGUGGCUUCCGGAGCUAACGCGUUAAAUCGACCGCCUGGGGAGUACGGCCCCAAGGUUAAAACUC
rnacentral:rRNA from 1 species